rnacentral:rRNA from 1 species
UGGGGAAUUUUGCACAAUGGGGGAAACCCUGAUGCAGCGACGCCGCGUGAUUUAGAAGGCCUUCGGGUUGUAAAAAUCUUUUUUACGGGAUGAAAAUGACAGUACCGUAAGAAUAAGGUCCGGCUAAAUACGUGCCAGCAGCCGCGGUAAUACGUAUGGACCGGGCGUUGUCCGGAAUCAUUGGGCGUAAAGGGUACGUAGGCGGCCUAAUAAGUUAGAAGUGAAAGAAUAUAGCUCAACUAUAUAAAGCUUUUAAAACUGUUAGGCUUGAGAGAUGAAAGGGAAAGUGGAAUUCCUAGUGUAGCGGUGAAAUGCGCAGAUAUUAGGAAGAAUACCGGUGGCGAAGGCGACUUUCUGGUCAUCAUCUGACGCUGAGGUACGAAAGCGUGGGUAGCAAACAGG